rnacentral:misc_RNA from 1 species
AGCAGCCGCGGUAAUUCCAGCUCCAAUAGCGUAUAUUAAAGUUGUUGCAGUUAAAAAGCUCGUAGUUGAAUUUCGGGAUCAAUUUAUUGGUCGUGCUAUUGUACGUACUGGUAUUAUUGAUUCCUACCUUCUGACGAACCAUGAUGUCAUUAAUUUGGUGUCUUGGGGAAUCAGGACUGUUACUUUGAAAAAUUAGAGUGUUUAAAGCAGGCUCACGCUUGAAUACAUUAGCAUGGAAUAACGAAAUAGGACGUUUGAUUCUAUUUUGUUGGUUUCUAGGAUCGACGUAAUGAUUAAUAGGGAUAGUUGGGGGCAUUAGUAUUCAAUUGUCAGAGGUGAAAUUCUUGGAUUUAUUGAAGACUAACUACUGCGAAAGCAUUUGCCAAGGAUGUUUUCAUUAAUCAAGAACGAAAGUUAGGGGAUCGAAGACGAUCAGAUACCGUCGUAGUCUUAACCAUAAACUAUGCCGACUAGGGAUCGGAUGAUGUUAAUUUUUAAUGACUCAUUCGGCGCCUUAACC